rnacentral:rRNA from 1 species
UACGUAGGGGGCUAGCGUUGUCCGGAUUUAUUGGGCGUAAAGAGCGUGUAGGCGGCCAGAUAGGUCUGCUGUGAAAACUCGAGGCUCAACCUCGAGAUGUCGGCGGAAACCACUUGGCUAGAGUCCGGAAGAGGAAAGUGGAAUUCCUGGUGUAGCGGUGAAAUGCGCAGAUAUCAGGAGGAACACCAAUGGCGAAGGCAGCACUCUGGGACGUGACUGACGCUGAGACGCGAAAGCGUGGGGAGCAAACAGG